rnacentral:ncRNA from 1 species
AAGAGAGCUUGAUAAGUGCGUUCUAGUUUGUGCUAACUGUCAUCGAGAGCUUGAGGCAGGCAUAACGCAGCUUCCUAGCGAAAGCUAGGGAUGAACUUUUCGGGAUAUCGGUGAAGCCCAAACGUGAAGACGUGGGUAAUACCGAGGGAACCUCAUAAUAGUGAGGGCACCGUAGAGACUAGAUACCGAAACACCUUUUGUCGAAAGACAUGGUGAAGAUAUAGUCCACGCCACUACGAAAGUAAUGG